rnacentral:rRNA from 1 species
CGCUGGCGGUAUGCUUUACACAUGCAAGUCGAACGGGCUAUGGGGCUUGCUCCAUAGUUAGUGGCGAACGGGUGAGUAAUAUAUCGGAACAUAUCCGGAAGUGGGGGAUAACGUAGCGAAAGUUACGCUAAUACCGCAUAUGCCCUGAGGGGGAAAGGGGGGGAUCGCAAGACCUCUCGCUUUCGGAGUGGCCGAUAUCGGAUUAGCUAGUAGGUGAGGUAAAGGCUCACCUAGGCGACGAUCCGUAGCUGGUCUGAGAGGACGACCAGCCACACUGGAACUGAGACACGGUCCAGACUCCUACGGGAGGCAGCAGUGGGGAAUUUUGGACAAUGGGCGCAAGCCUGAUCCAGCAAUGCCGCGUGCAGGAUGAAGGCCUUCGGGUUGUAAACUGCUUUUGUACGGAACGAAAAGACUCCUUCUAAUAAAGGGGGUUCAUGACGGUACCGUAAGAAUAAGCACCGGCUAACUACGUGCCAGCAGCCGCGGUAAUA